CCAGAGCAGUACAGUGACAACCGUGGUAGCAGCAGCAGCAGAAAUUAUAUAUGACUUGUGCUGGCGCUAUUAUAUAGUAGAGGCGCAUAUAUUUUUGUUGUUUCGCUUUGUGUGCUGUUUGGUGAUACUUGGUCUAACGGUUAUGUAUAAUACACGCCAAAUUAUGCAAUAUACUUACUGCACGUGUGAAAAUCACUGAUUGGCGAAAAGUUUGUGAAAAAAAUUUAUAAAAAAGUGAGAAAAAUUUAAAAAGCGAAGAAAUUGUGUGUAAAAUUCUUGCUAGAAAAGUGUGUAUAAGGGGUGUGUGUGAAAAGUGGUGAAAAUGCUUUGGCAACGAUAGGCAGUGAAAAAAAUCGAAUUUCACAGCGCUCGUUUGGCCUUCGGCGCGUUGAACGCGAGUGAAAACGCGUAAUACUGAUAGCAAGCGCAAAUAAUUGCAACAAAAUCUGCAAAGAGUUGUUAAAAGAAUUGCAACGAGUUGAAAAUAAAAUAAAAAUUUCCCUAAAAGUCGCGAGUAAAAUUUGUUUUAUAGAAAAUUUUAAGCAAGCAAAGCAUCUGCCAGACUUUUCUUCAACGACCUCAAGCAGACAAUUGUCAUACAGGCAAAUUAUAAAAUCACAUUUUCGGGAGCAAUGAGCUGUUGUAUGGUUGUUAAAAGAAGACAAGGAAAAAAGAUAGUUCAACGCUAAAAUUUAGGAAACACUGCAAAAGAUCAAUAAGAAGACACUAGCCUGGAUAAAAAAGAUUGAGUAAUUGAUAAAAUUUUGCAAGAAAAAAAGCGAAAAAUAAAAAAGUUGAUGCAAACAUAAAGAAAUAUUUGUAGUUAUUGUACAUUGGUCUUCGUAAACCAUACUAAAAUUCGCGACACCGAAGAGGAUAACACUUGUUGCAACAACUCGGCUUACCUCAAAUAGAGGUAGACCAAUACGGACAGCGAAAAUACGCUAAAACCCAUAAACUUUAGUUAAAUAUGGCUCAAUACGGUGGUGGCGCACCAAACCCCUUCGGUGCUGGUGGCGGCUAUGAACAGCAGCCUAGCUAUGGCGGCGGUUAUGGACAACAGAUGGGCGGCUACGAACAAACUGGUGGAGGUUAUGAUCAAACAGGUGUAGGUUAUGAUCAAAGCGGUGCGGGCUACGAUCAAAGUGGUGGCUAUGGUAAUCAGGGCAUGGCUGGUAGUGCAGCUUAUGGUGGUGGCAUGCCGAAUGCCGGUGGAGUGCCACAACAGCCUUAUGGCAUGGCAGCACGUCCAAGGGUCGACGUAGAGGCUACUGGUGAAGUGGAUCCAACACUCUAUCCGGAAGCCAAAGAGUCAACGCACAAAAUACGCGGUCACUCUGAUAUUAUCGAAAUGCUUUUUGGGCCCACCGAACACGAACUCAUACCGGUGAAGGCCUUUUAUUUCUUCUUCUUUGCCGCUUUUGGUUCACUGUUUCCACUGAUGGGUGUCUACUUCAAACAGAUGGGUAUGAAUCCGGGGCAGUGCGGUAUAUUGAUUGGUAUGCGUCCAUUUGUGGAGUUCUUGUCGGCACCCUUCUGGGGUUCCUAUGCGGAUCGCUGCCGUCAAGGCAAAAAGUUGUUGCUGGCCUCACUCGCAUGUUGGGUGCUAUUUACUAUACCUUUGAGCUUCAUCAAACCAGAGGCUGUGAAUUGCAUCGAACGCAAGAAUGAAACCGAUUUCGUUUUGACUUUGACACGCACGAAGCGUGAUCUCUCCGCAUAUGACAUGAGCGACAUGAAUAAGGACGAUGUGGAGAGUUAUCAUUCUCAAGCGCAUUUACAUGACGCGUUAACAAUGCCAGCAAGCGAAGCGAUGGAGGAAUCGCAUAGAAGACGCAAACGUUCAUUGAUACCACGCAUUGAUGCCGGCAUCUCACCCAUACACAUCAACUUUGUCAGCAAUUACGAUGACAAACAGCAUCGUGACUAUGUUAGCCCUAUAUUCUCCUCGAUGGUUUAUCGCACACCCGACAUUCAAAAGGCUUUUUUCCUGCUCUUACUUGUCAUACUUAUUGGUGAGUUCUUCAGCGCUCCCGCCAUUACGCUCGCUGACUCAGCUGUCAUCACAUUGCUGGGCGACGAUGCUGAUAAGUAUGGUCAUCAGCGCAUGUUCGGCUCACUCGGCUGGGGUAUUUCUAUGUUCAUUGUCGGUAUUGUGCUCGAUCACUCGACACGUUUCUCGCAUCAUCCCUGCGGUGCCGGGCACAUGGAGAAGAACUAUAACAUCUGCUUUGCCAUCUUUUCGAUAUUGAUGACUUGCGCUAUUGUAUCGGCGUCGAAGAUCACUUUCAAAUAUGAUCCCAUCGACAUCGAACAGCCCGUUGAGAACCCGGAUGCCACCGCUAACAAACAGGCGGAGGAUGAGAGCAUGGCUGAGCUGGCUGCACAGCUGAAUUUGCCUACGUUGGCCAUGGGUAGUGGUACGGCGGCGGUCGGCAAGGCACCACCGGCCGCUGUGGGCGCACAGUCGACAAUGUUUGCACAGACGACUAAGGAAAUGCCCGAAUGGUUGACUGUGUUGACGCACUUCAAAGAUAUGAAAACUAUUUCGUUUCUAUUUGUCGCCUGGUUUAUGGGUUUCGGCAUUGGACUGAUAUUUACCUUCCUCUUUUGGCAUCUACAAGACUACGGCGGCACUCCAACGCUUUUCGGUGUUGCCUCUGUGAUUAAUCACGUAUCCGAGAUCUUUGCCUACUUCUACAGCUUUCGUUUCAUUACACAAAUCGGUCAUAUAAAGGUGUUAUGCCUGGGCUUAAUCGGCAAUGUGCUGCGAUUUUUGUACAUCUCAUAUGCGACCAAUCCGUGGAUGGUGUUACCGUUCGAGCUGAUGCAGGGCGUAACACAUGCUGCCGUAUGGGCCGCUUCCUGUUCGUACAUAGCGCACAGCACACCCAAACAUCUGAGAGCUUCAGCACAGGGCGUACUGCAGGGUAUACAUCAUGGUUUGGGACGCGGUUGUGGCGCCAUUAUUGGUGGCAUGUUUGUCACAUACUACGGCACUACGAAAACAUUCCGCGGUUAUGGCCUGGCUUGCCUCGUCGUCUUGGGUGUUUUCAUUUUCGUGAAUUUCUAUCGUAAAGAUCAGGGCUUCAUCUCGGAUUUGCCAGCAACGGAGGAUCCGCGUCAGGUAGCGGAAGAGACCUCACAUCUGGCGCCACAUGGUGUACCCAGUAAUCCAAUACCGCGUGCACUCUCCAAUGCACGUCUGAAUGAGAUGAAUCCAAAUGGUGGCACUGGCAAUAGUUACGGCACCUACCAGACUUCGGGCGGUAAUCUGGACAUACCUGGCGCUAAUCCACACAACCCAUUCGCGCAAUAAAUUGGACAAAGUAAAAUUUGGAUAAGACGGGAAAAUAGUUGAAUUGGCUGAAGUGUGAGCAUGGUAUCUUUUUUUUGGUAUGAGUUUCAUGAACAGUUUUGAUCAGAUCUAUUUGUAUAGUUUAUACAUACAUACGUAAGUAUAUUGGUAGAAUAAUAUUGUUAACAAGUCUAAUCGUAUAAUUAAUAAGAGACCGUAUUUGUAGUGGAGGGCGAUUACCUGGUUAUUAUUAUUCAACUAUUAUAAUUACUUCUUGCAUUAGGUUUUAAGUAAAAAAUUUCGUAUUAUCAAUAACAGUGUUACUAAACUUAUUAAUAUUUUGAUUAUACAUAAAUUACCAGUUACAAUCAAUUAAUGUAAUCAUUAUCCUUACCAUUUUCAUAAUUUUUCAUACUAUUAUUACAAUUUUUGGAAUGCCAUACAAUUACUUUUAACUAUUUAUUUUUAUUAAAACCAAUAUUCUCCUUAGGUAAAGUAUUGUUAAUCUGGUAAUGAUUACUAUUACCACCAUUACCGUUUGAUUACACCAAUUUAUUAUUUUUAUAUAAAAAACAUUACCAAUAAAGGUAUAAAUGCAAUUACACUACAUAUAAUUAUUUUGCAUUACUGCGCAGCAAUGUACAUAUUUUUUAAUUAUUUAUUUUUGAUUAAAACUUUUACUAAGUAAAGUAUUAUUAUUAUAAUCAUUAACACUGCAUUGCACGAACUUGCUAUCAUUAUUAUUAGUUCAAGACUAUUACCAGUAAUAUGUAUAAUUAAAAUUACAUUACAUAUAAUUAUUUCUUCAUUACUGUUCACUAACGUACUAUUUUAACUACUGAUGUUUUUUUUUUAAAACAGGUUUCUUACAAAAGCAAAGUAUUGCUAAUCUUGUAAUGAUUACUUUUAUAAUUACUACCAAUACUAUUGGAUUACACCAAUUUAUUAUCAUUAUUAUUGGUUCAAGACUAUUACCAAAUUAUUUAUAAUUAAAAUUACAUUACAUGUAACUAGUUUUUCAUUACAGCUGUAUUUAUUGAAGUAUUUUUGUCUGGCAACGGUUAAUAUUACCACCGCAUUCUACCAAUUUAUUAUUAUUAGUUCCAAACCAUUAUCAGUACAUGUAUAAUUAAAAUUACAUUACAAUUACAUUACAAUUACAUUACACAUAAUUACUUUUUCAUUCCUGUUCAGUAUUGUAGAUAUUAUGUGAAAUUUUUGAUUUUAGUAAAAGCAUUAUUCUUACGCAAGUAGAGCAUUGCUAGUCCGGUAAUGAUUACUAUUAUAUUACAACUAUUACCACUGUAUUACACCAAUUUUGUGUUAUUAUUAUUAGUUCUAAACCAUUACCAUUACAUUACCAUUACCAUGUAUAAUUAUAAUCACAGUACAUUUAAUUACUUUUCCAUUACAGCUCAGUAUUGUAGAAAUUUUGAAAAAAUUUUAUUUUUAUUAAAACCAGUAUUCUUACAAAUGUAAUAAUUACAUUGUUUAAUUAUAAUUACAUUACAAAUAAUUAAUUUUUCAUUACUGCUCAGUAUUGUAACCAUUUCGCAAAACUUUUAUUUUUGUUAAAACUAGUCAUCUUACAAAGGUAAUCAUUACCAAUACUAAUCUGGUAAUGAUUACCAUUACUAGUCUGGUAAUCAUUACUAUCAAUUUCUAAAUAUUUUAUAAAUUUUCGCUCUCUGCUAUUUCUUAAGUGUUACAUAUAAAAACUAACUGUCCUUUCGUUACACCGUUAGUUAAUAAAGUGAGCGGAAACGCAACACAAAAAUAGCUGUAUUAUAUUUAAUAGUAAAUUUUACAUUUCAUUAAAAAAAAGUUAGCAAAAUACAAUUCUAGAUGUGUUUAUUAUAAUUACAACUUUAUUGAACUGUUCAGAAAUAUAUUAAUAUGAAAAACUAUAAACUUUAGAUAUGAAAUGAGUUAAACGAAAAUACUACAUAUUUGAAGAGUAAGAUAUAAAAAAAAUAAAAUAAAUAAACGACAAAAGCAUAAAAAAA
rnacentral:misc_RNA from 1 species